UACGUAGGGGGCAAGCGUUGUCCGGAUUUAUUGGGCGUAAAGAGCUCGUAGGCGGUUCGGUAAGUCAGGUGUGAAACCUCCAGGCUCAACCUGGAGACGCCACCUGAUACUGCUGUGACUCGAGUCCGGUAGGGGAGCGUGGAAUUCCUGGUGUAGCGGUGAAAUGCGCAGAUAUCAGGAGGAACACCAGCGGCGAAGGCGGCGCUCUGGGCCGGAACUGACGCUGAGGAGCGAAAGCGUGGGUAGCGAACAGG
rnacentral:rRNA from 1 species